rnacentral:rRNA from 1 species
UACGUAGGGUGCAAGCGUUAAUCGGAAUUACUGGGCGUAAAGCGUGCGCAGGCGGUUAUGUAAGACAGAUGUGAAAUCCCCGGGCUCAACCUGGGAACUGCAUUUGUGACUGCAUAGCUAGAGUACGGCAGAGGGGGAUGGAAUUCCGCGUGUAGCAGUGAAAUGCGUAGAUAUGCGGAGGGACACCGAUGGCGAAGGCAAUCCCCUGGGCCUGUACUGACGCUCAGUCGC